AUCCUACUUCACGUUCCCAUCAGGAAUGCACAUAAGGGUUCCGGUUUCUCCGCGUCCGUACCAGCACGUCGUCUUUUCUGGUAGGCACAGGCCCUUCUGUGCACCAGCAGCCUUGUGAGCACCUGCGCCCUUGGCUGCAGGACCGUCUGCCGUGUGUGUCUGCCACUGACUUCUGCGUCCGUGUCUCCUGUAAUGGCCGGCAUGCCACCAGCAUCCUGCAGCAGACUUGCCACAUCUCAGCCCUUCUCUUUAGAGCAGACUCCUUCUGGAAGCGUAAUUGCUGAUCCAGCCCCUCUCCCAGCCACAGAAUUGUGCACCCACCCCGGCUCUCCCGGCUCCCAGGAGGAGGGCCAGGAGUGGGGUUUGGGGCAGAAGAGGGAAGCUCCUCCAGCCAUGGGUGUGACCCGAGGGAGGGGAGGGGCCGUUUCUGCCUCCGAGCCUUGCAUCAGCCACCCAUCUCUGCGAGCCAGGUUUCCUCAUCAUUGAUAAAGUAUGCAGGAUACAGAGCGGGCCUCCCAGUCGGGACUGUGGGCUCCGACUUGCCCGAUGCCCACAGCAGCGGGCAGGAGGGGGAGGGGCUUCCGAGGCCAGCGAGAAGGGCCCUCUCCCUGAUCCCAGCCCUGCGGCAGGGCAGGCCCCCAGCCCCUGCCACUCAGCCACCUCGCAGCUGUCACCUUCCAAGGAAGGAGCGCAAAGCUGCACCUUGCAGAAUCUUCCCAGAGGCCGUCUGAGUGUUUGUCAUCAAUAAAGCAGGGCUUCCUGGCUGCUGGUCCCGUGAGAA